GCCUCUGGCCGAAUAUUUAACCCUUGUUUUUGUGCGUACUUGUUGUUGCCUUGGUAGGCUUGCCUGCCAGGAGCACACCCCAUAACACCCAUUGUAAUUGCAGUCAGCGUCAGUAAAACACAAUAAUUAAAACUUUCAACAACGGAUCUCUUGGUUCUGGCAUCGAUGAAGAACGCAGCGAAAUGCGAUAAGUAGUGUGAAUUGCAGAAUUCAGUGAAUCAUCGAAUCUUUGAACGCACAUUGCGCCCCUUGGUAUUCCAUGGGGCAUGCCUGUUCGAGCGUCAUUUGUACCCUCAAGCUCUGCUUGGUGUUGGGUGUUUGUCCCCGUUUUUGCGCGUGGGACUCGCCUUAAAGCGAUUGGCAGCCGGCACAUUGGCCUGGGAGCGCAGCACAUUUUGCGCUUCUGGCCGUGAACGUCGGCGUCCAUUAAGCCUGUUUACAUUUGCUCUUGACCUCGGAUCAGGUAGGGAUACCCGCU
rnacentral:rRNA from 1 species